GGGGUUGUGGCUCAGUGGUAGAGCGUUCACCUAGCAUGUGUGAGGCCCUGGGUUAGAACCUCAGGACCACA
rnacentral:tRNA from 1 species